ACUUCCACAAGAGGCUCACAAUGUGGCAGGGGCCAGGUCCCGGCUGUGUAGUUCAUGUAGCUCGCAAAUUGCACCGAAUUACUCCCAUUCGCUUACCUGCUAUCAUCGCUGCGGUCCGGGGGCUCCAUACCAAGGCGAGGAGUCCAGACUCGCCCGUGUGUGCGCCGACGCCAUCUUACCAGCAAUCAUCGAAGAACUGACACAGAUCAUUGCUACGGCAACCCGUGCAGUACAUCAGACAGCCGCUGUGACUGCUCUUGAACUGCCGUAAUAGGCUCUAAUUACCGCCCGAGUUGACCCGUUUAUUACUGUGGGCAUGCUGACAGAUCGCUUGUCAUGCAACUUGAUCUGGCAGGCACAGCAUCUUGUAACUAAAAUACGGUCAUUUAGAACACACGUUAUUAUUGAUUACAAUAUUUACAGACAAAAUUACCUUCUGCCUACGUCAUAUUUUACUUUUAAGAUCACCUGACAAACACAGCAAUGAUCAUUUUAUCGCGAUUUUCAGUGCUGUUGGCUCGUCUGAAAAUGAUCAAAUUACUGCACUGCAGUACAAUAGGCUAUAGGCCUACGUUUUUCUCGUUUGGCAUUACUGAAUGGGUUGAGUAUUUUUGGGUUCAGCUUUGAAAGUUUGAAGGGUGAUGUUUUGACCGGUCAGCCAAAUAAUUGGAAUUGUGUUUUUUAAUUUUGAUUCAAAUUAUUCUUAGGCCACCCAAACAAGCCCGAGUUACAAACCCACUGGCAAAGGUUUCAAGAGGAUACAAUUUUCAUUUGGCAGCUUUUGUCAGUUAUAUGAAGUGGAUUACUGCCUUUUAACUUAAUGUAAUGUUUCAGCUGUAUAAUAUUACCACAUCCACAUUCACUGCAUCUGUUUCCAUAAUUGACAAGGCAUGUCACCCCCACCCACCCCAAUACAGCCUCCUCUGCGUCUCUGGCAUUCAUUAAAUCA